CAGCAUUGUCAAAACCUUGAAAGUGUGAUUCAUCAUGUAUGUUAUGAUAUAAUAUGAUCUGCCAAACUCAGAAUGAUAAAGAAUGGAGGCGCUGAAUGUUCCACAUAUUAUCCACAUUUAUUCAAUGCAUCUCUAUGAGGAUAUGCUGUUUGGCACAAUGUGCUGUGUUGCCCCGCAUGAGCAAUUGACUGAGAUCAUCAAGAAUGGAGUAAGAGCCAGACCAGCACAGCGUGGGAGAAAAUGUGAGUAAAAACACCUUUCCCAUUUGGACAGACUGGGGCCGUUCACCUAAAUAAUGAAAAAAUGUUUGUAUACUGUUCCUUUAAGGCAACGUAGAAGUCAAGUGGGAAUUAAUUAUGGGUUUAAUUACUGCCAG